AUACCAUGGUGGGGACACUUCCUCAAUAAUUCCUUGAAACACUCCCAAGCAUUAUACAGUGAUUCCCCAUCAGUUUGGUAGAAAUUAUUAAUCUGCCCUCUCAACUGU